CACGUAGGGGGCGAGCGUUGUCCGGAUUUAUUGGGCGUAAAGAGCUCGUAGGCGGCUCAGUAAGUCAGGUGUGAAAACUCCAGGCUCAACCUGGAGACGCCACCUGAUACUGCUGUGGCUAGAGUCCGGUAGGGGAGCAUGGAAUUCCUGGUGUAGCGGUGAAAUGCGCAGAUAUCAGGAGGAACACCGGUGGCGAAGGCGCACAUCUGGCCCGAUACUGACGCUGAGGCGCGAAAGCGUGGGGAGCAAACAGG
rnacentral:rRNA from 1 species